rnacentral:rRNA from 1 species
UACAGAGACCUCAAGCGUUAUCCGGAAUCAUUGGGCGUAAAGCGUACCGAUAGGUGGUUAUGCAAGUCAGACGUGAAAUCUCCGAGCUCAACUCGGAAUCUGUCGUUUGAAACUGCACAACUAGAGGGGCAAAGAGGAAGCUGGAACGAACGGUGUAGUAGUGAAAUGCGUUGAUAUCGUUCGGAACACCAAUAGCGAAGGCAAGCUUCUGGGUGCCACCUGACACUGCUAGGACGAAAGCGUGGGGAGCGAAUGGG